rnacentral:rRNA from 1 species
UACGGGGGGGGCAAGCGUUGUUCGGAAUUACUGGGCGUAAAGGGCUCGUAGGUGGCCAAUUAAGUCAGACGUGAAAUCCCCAGGCUUAACCUGGGAACUGCGUCUGAUACUGACUGGCUUGAAUUCGGGAGAGGGAUGCAGAAUUCCAGGUGUAGCGGUGAAAUGCGUAGAUAUCUGGAGGAACACCGGUGGCGAAGGCGGCAUCCUGGACCGGCAUUGACGCUGAGGCGCGAAAGCCAGGGGAGCAAACGGG